ACCACUGGGGAAUCCCCCAAAGCGGGGGAAGGGUUUUCUUAAAUUCCUCUGGACGGUUUAGAUGCAGCCUUGCCCUGAGGCAGAGGGAUGGCUGAAAUGACCAGAGGGUGCCCUCCCUAUGGCCUGAGGAUCCGAUUGGAUGAACCCCCGAAUCCUGAUGGAUGCCCCCCUUUUGUUGACAGCCGGGAGCCCAGGAGCGACCCCUUCCCCCCUCCCCCGCCCCGCCCAGCGGCCGGUGGGCGGGGACGGCCGCAGGGCGCGCGCCUGCCCCGGGCGCUGGUCCUUUAAGGCCGGGCGUCGCGGGAACAAAGGCCCGGCCUGCGCGCACCGGCCUGAGUCACUUCAGUUCCUCUGCUCGCGCCCGCGCCCGCGCCCCCCCCGCCCGGCCUGGCCCCUCCUUGCCCCUCCUGCACCUAGGAGUCUGAGGAGGCGGCGCGGUGGGCGCAGGCUGUAUUUGUGGCCCCUGUAUUUGUCUGGCUCCUCUGAGCGGGGGCCGGGGCCUAGGCGCUCUGCGCGCCCCCUGCCCCGGCUCUGGACCUCCCACUUUGGGGCUCAGUUUCCACACCCACAACCGGGGGUGGGGGCGGCAAAAGCCAUUCGGGAGGCGUCCGAGUGAGACGGAAAGAGUUCUCCGAGUCUCGUUUUUCCCAUCUGAGAACCUUAGAUUUUGUGGUGGAACGUGAGUCCAGAUGGGCGACGGCACACAGGAUUCUCCAGGCAAGAAUACUGAAGUGGAUUGCCAUUUCCUUCUCCAGAGGAUCUUCCCAUCUUAGGAAUUGAACCCGUGUCUCCUGCGUCUCCUGCAUUGCAGACGGAUUCUUUACUAUUGCACCACCUGGGAAGCCCAUCAUAUGAGGUACUCCUAAUAUACACCAAA